UACGAAGGGGGCGAGCGUUGUUCGGAUUUACUGGGCGUAAAGCGCACGUAGGUGGCGACGUAAGUCGGGUGUGAAAGCCCCGGGCUCAACCUGGGAAUUGCAUUCGAGACUGCAUUGCUGGAGUACGGAAGAGGAAGGCGGAAUUCCCGGUGUAGCGGUGAAAUGCGUAGAUAUCGGGAGGAACAUCAGUGGCGAAGGCGGCCUUCUGGUCCAGUACUGACACUCAAGUGCGAAAGCGUGGGGAGCAAACAGG
rnacentral:rRNA from 1 species